CCCACCUCUCCUCACCCUUAGGUGGUGGGUGCAAAGCACCCAUAACCCCUUUCUUUUGCCUCCUCCCCCCCAGGUGCUGGGUGCGGAGCACCCUGAUGUGGCAAAGCAGCUCAACAACCUGGCGCUGCUCUGCCAGAACCAGGGCAAGUUUGGCGAGGUGGAGGGCUACUACGGGCGGGCACUGCGCAUCUACGAGCGGCGCCUGGGCCCCCGCGACCCCACCGUGGCCAAGACCAAGACCAACCUGGCCUCCUCCUACCUCAAGCAGGGCAAGUACAAGGAGGCCGAGGCCCUCUACAAGGAGAUCCUGAGCUCACACGAGCUGGGUGCCCAGGGUGACUCCGGCCAGGCCAGCAUCGCCUCUCCAAGCAGGG